AAUAACGCCCCAAAGUAGAGACCAGUAAAAUGGUUCUUUGUCCCUUUCUUCAACGUUCCUCUUCUUUUUUCGUACCAGCAGCUGCAAAUCCGUCCUUGUGGCCUUGAGAUGGGGCCACAUCGUUCGCCAAGGACGCUCGAGUCAAUCCAAGCCUUUGGUUUCCUUUCCUCUUCCGGAAUGGAGCCGAAUCGUCAGGAAACGGUGUCUCCCUCAAUUUGUGAAAGAGAUUUGGACUUUGAAAUUCGAAUUUGGACCCAUCCUCACUCAAUAUUCCCCCAAAAAUCGAACCCUAAUAACCCCUAUGUAUAUUCUCUUUCGCUUCAUUGUAAAAGGGGGAAAUUUUUUUCGGUGACAGAAAACUUUACUUGGUGAAUAGUUUAAAUUUGAGAGGAAAAUAUAGUGAACUGUCAGCUACAAUUAUUUGAGGAUAAGUUCUCAGAAGCAAAAAAAAAAAAAAGUGAGAGUUUAGGCCUUGUUUGAGUGCCUUGCUUGUUUCUUCGUUCACCGGAGUUUUCGUUAGAUAUCCCUGUUUUACUGCACUUCGAAAGGCUCACACCACCGUAUCCGAGUCGUCCAUCCCUUUAUAACUGGUGUACAGAUCAAAAUCAGCAAAAUUUGUUGCUGGGAAUUAAUUUGCAGGUCCCCAAAAAGCCGAAAAAUAGGUCGAUAUACAGCCCCUAUACACUGGUAUACAAUGUGAAUAUACAAUAUGCUGUUGGAAAACGUGGCCAGGAAUUUAAAAACGCAAAAAUACAAAGUUUUGGUUGAAAUUGCAGGUUCAGGAGCGCAAAACUCGUCAAUAUACACAGCGUAUACAUAGAAUAUACACUCAAAAUGUAUCAUGACUUUGGAAAGAGAAUAGGCCUAAAGGCCUUAAAACUGCAGCAGCAGAAUUUGGGCCUAGGGCCCAAAUUUGAUGUUUCCUCCCUUUCUUAUUUAUUUAUCAUGAUAGUUGACUAAUUAUUUUAUGUGAUUUUGGUUUAAUUUAUUUAUUCUCCUAUGAUAGACAUUCCUCUUAUUUGUACAUAUAUUUAUUUAUAUA